UCCCCGCCGGGGAGCCGGUAGUAUAGUGGUAAGUAUCCCCGCCUGUCACGCGGGAGACCGGGGUUCGAUUCCCCGCCGGGGAG